rnacentral:rRNA from 1 species
CCUACGGGAGGCAGCAGUAGGGAAUCUUCGGCAAUGGACGGAAGUCUGACCGAGCAACGCCGCGUGAGUGAAGAAGGUUUUCGGAUCGUAAAGCUCUGUUGUAAGAGAAGAACGAGUGUGAGAGUGGAAAGUUCACACUGUGACGGUAUCUUACCAGAAAGGGACGGCUAACUACGUGCCAGCAGCCGCGGUAAUACGUAGGUCCCGAGCGUUGUCCGGAUUUAUUGGGCGUAAAGCGAGCGCAGGCGGUUAGAUAAGUCUGAAGUUAAAGGCUGUGGCUUAACCAUAGUACGCUUUGGAAACUGUUUAACUUGAGUGCAAGAGGGGAGAGUGGAAUUCCAUGUGUAGCGGUGAAAUGCGUAGAUAUAUGGAGGAACACCGGUGGCGAAAGCGGCUCUCUGGUCUGUAACUGACGCUGAGGCUCGAAAGCGUGGGGAGCAAACAGGAUUAGAUACCCUGGUAGUCCACGCCGUAAACGAUGAGUGCUAGGUGUUGGGUCCUUUCCGGGACUCAGUGCCGCAGCUAACGCAUUAAGCACUCCGCCUGGGGAGUACGACCGCAAGGUUGAAACUCAAAGGAAUUGACGG